rnacentral:rRNA from 1 species
CUGGCUCAGGAUGAACGCUAGCGGCAGGCUUAACACAUGCAAGUCGAGGGGCAGCGGGAUGUAGCAAUACAUUGCCGGCGACCGGCGGAUGGGUGCGUAACGCGUAUGCAACCUACCUUAUACAGGGGAAUAACCUUUCGAAAGGGAGACUAACACCCCAUAGUAUUGAUUUAAGGCAUCUUAGAUUAAUUAAAUAUUUAUAGGUAUAAGAUGGGCAUGCGUAUGAUUAGCUAGUUGGUAAGGUAACGGCUUACCAAGGCGACGAUCAUUAGGGGUCUGAGAGGAAGGUCCCCCACACUGGUACUGAGACACGGACCAGACUCCUACGGGAGGCAGCAGUGAGGAAUAUUGGUCAAUGGGCGCAAGCCUGAACCAGCCAUGCCGCGUGCAGGAAGACGGCCUUAUGGGUUGUAAACUGCUUUUACAUAAGACUAACCGUAUAUUUGCGAAUAUACCUGAAUGUAUUAUGAGAAUAAGGAUCGGCUAACUCCGUGCCAGCCGCCGC